GCUGGUGCCCAUACUAGAGGGGUAACACCUGAUCCCUUUCCGAACUCAGUAGUGAAGACCUCUGGGCCGAUGGUAGUCCUAAUGGGCGAGAGUAGGUUAGUGCCAGCU
rnacentral:rRNA from 1 species